rnacentral:lncRNA from 8 species
AUGUAUACCCUUCUAGAAUCGGUGAGGUAUAUGCUUCUAGAACCGGUGAGGUAUAUGCUCCUAGAACCGGUGAGGUAUAUGCUUCUAGAACCGGUGAGGUAUACACUCCUAGAACCGGUGAGGUAUACCUUUCUAGAACUGGUGAGCCAUACCCUUCUAGAACCGGUGAGGUAUACCCUCCUUAUAGAACCAGUGAGGUAUACCCUCCUUCUAGAACCAGUGAGGUAUACCCUCCUUCUAGAACCAGUGAGGUAUACCAUUCUAGAACCGGUGAGGUAUAACCUUCUAGAACCAGUGAUGUAUACCAUCCUAGAACCGGUGAGGUAUACCCUUCUAGAACCGGUGAGGUAUAACCUUCUAGAACUGCUGAGGUAUACCCUUCUAGAACCGGUGAUGUAUACACUCCUAGAACCAGUGAGGUAUACCCUUCUAGAACCAGUGAGCUAUACCCUCCUUCUAGAACUGGUGAGGUAUACUCUUGUUGAACCAGUGAGGUAUAUCCUUCUAGAACCAGUGAGGUAUACCCUUCUAGAACCAGUGAGGUAUACCCUCCUUCUAGAACUGGUGAGGUAUACUCUUGUUGAACCGGUGAGGUAUAUCCUUCUAGAACCAGUGAGGUAUACCUGCCUUCUAGAACCGUUAAGGUAUACCCUCCUUAUAGAACCAGUGAGGGGUACCCUCCUUCUAGAACCGGGGAGGUACGCUCCUUCUAGAACCAGUGAGGUAUACCCUCCUUAUAGAACCGGUGAGGUAUACCGUUCUUCUCAAACCGUUGAGGUAAACCCUUCUUAUAGAACAGUUGAGGUAUACCCUCCUUCUAGAACCAGUGAGGUAUACCCUCCUUAUAAAACCGGUGACGUAUACCUUCCUUCUAGAACCGGUGAGGUAUACCCUUCUAGAACUGGUGAGGUAUACCCUUCUAGAACCAGUAAGGUAUACCCUUCUAGAACCAGUAAGGUAUACCCUUCUAGAACAGUUGAGGUAUACCCUCCUUCUAGAACCAGUGAGGUAUACCCUUCUAGAACCGGAUGA